rnacentral:rRNA from 1 species
GCUGACGAGUGGCGGACGGGUGAGUAAUGUCUGGGAAACUGCCUGAUGGAGGGGGAUAACUACUGGAAACGGUGGCUAAUACCGCAUAACGUCGCAAGACCAAAGAGGGGGACCUUCGGGCCUCUUGCCAUCAGAUGUGCCCAGAUGGGAUUAGCUAGUUGGUGAGGUAACGGCUCACCAAGGCGACGAUCCCUAGCUGGUCUGAGAGGAUGACCAGCCACACUGGAACUGAGACACGGUCCAGACUCCUACGGGAGGCAGCAGUGGGGAAUAUUGCACAAUGGGCGCAAGCCUGAUGCAGCCAUGCCGCGUGUAUGAAGAAGGCCUUCGGGUUGUAAAGUACUUUCAGCGGGGAGGAAGGUGUUGUGGUUAAUAACCACAGCAAUUGACGUUACCCGCAGAAGAAGCACCGGCUAACUCCGUGCCAGCAGCCGCGGUAAUACGGAGGGUGCAAGCGUUAAUCGGAAUUACUGGGCGUAAAGCGCACGCAGGCGGUCUGUCAAGUCGGAUGUGAAAUCCCCGGGCUCAACCUGGGAACUGCAUUCGAAACUGGCAGGCUUGAGUCUUGUAGAGGGGGGUAGAAUUCCAGGUGUAGCGGUGAAAUGCGUAGAGAUCUGGAGGAAUACCGGUGGCGAAGGCGGCCCCCUGGACAAAGACUGACGCUCAGGUGCGAAAGCGUGGGGAGCAAACAGGAUUAGAUACCCUGGUAGUCCACGCCGUAAACGAUGUCUACUUGGAGGUUGUGCCCUUGAGGCGUGGCUUCCGGAGCUAACGCGUUAAGUAGACCGCCUGGGGAGUACGGCCGCAAGGUUAAAACUCAAAUGAAUUGACGGGGGCCCGCACAAGCGGUGGAGCAUGUGGUUUAAUUCGAUGCAACGCGAAGAACCUUACCUGGUCUUGACAUCCACAGAACUUUCCAGAGAUGGAUUGGUGCCUUCGGGAACUGUGAGACAGGUGCUGCAUGGCUGUCGUCAGCUCGUGUUGUGAAAUGUUGGGUUAAGUCCCGCAACGAGCGCAACCCUUAUCCUUUGUUGCCAGCGGUUAGGCCGGGAACUCAAAGGAGACUGCCAGUGAUAAACUGGAGGAAGGUGGGGAUGACGUCAAGUCAUCAUGGCCCUUACGACCAGGGCUACACACGUGCUACAAUGGCGCAUACAAAGAGAAGCGACCUCGCGAGAGCAAGCGGACCUCAUAAAGUGCGUCGUAGUCCGGAUUGGAGUCUGCAACUCGACUCCAUGAAGUCGGAAUCGCUAGUAAUCGUGGAUCAGAAUGCCACGGUGAAUACGUUCCCGGGCCUUGUACACACCGCCCGUCACACCAUGGGAGUGGGUUGCAAAAGAAGUAGGUAGCUUAACCUUCGGGAGGGCGCUUACCACUUUGUGAUUCAUGACUGGGGUGAAGUCGUAACAAGGUAACCGUAGGGGAACCUGCGGUUGGAUCACCUCCUUACCU